GUGGGAGUGCUCGUUGCAGUUACACGGUAAUUGAAUCAUAUUUUGGAAGUGCCUAAACAAACUGUGAUCAGUAUCGUGUGCAUUAACCAUCAGGAAAUCUCUGGACUCGUGUAACGCCAUUAGUUCGCCUUAUGUUUCCUGUGAUACGCCGGUGUCUUACGUGUACUACAGCGCCCGUCCGAGCUGCCUUUGUUCUCGCCUGUCCGCGUUCGCUCGUGGAAUACCUGGUACUGUGGCUUCGAAUUAUAGUGCGUGGAAGAGUUUGUUGAAAGUUGUGCUUUUGUGCGGUGGUGUUCAUCGGCAAUUCGACAGUGUUCGUGCUGGAAAGAGCGUCGUCGCGUGGUGCCUGCGAGACGAAGGAGCGCUUGCUGUUCACAUCUUGAAGGUUAUGCGGAUUCUGGAGUCAAGCCUACGACCUGUAGGAACCUGCUGCACUGCUACAUAUUGGAUCGCACAACGAUGCACUUGACCUGCAUGCUUUUACAAGGUGCCCUGUGAGCUCUCAUCCAAGCACCGCAUUGCAGACGUCUGCUGUGAGCAGACGUGGCAAAUUGAAGUAACAUACAGAUAGUCCAAUAAAAUACUCGUAAUUUCAGACAAACCUUUACAAAGUACAGUGAAAACUUUCUUUUAAAAGUACAAACACCAAUACAGCGUGAUCUUUCCAUCCAAACAUUACAUUUUAUAUUAGUAAGAAAGACAUAACUAGAACAGCAGCAGCACUGCGGUGAGGAACGUACAAUAGUAUUCGAAGUGUUAUACUGAAAUAUUCUAUGAAGUCUAAUUAGUUUGUAAUUUUAGAACAAGCUAGCAUGAAUUUCUGUGCCAUAGCAGUGUUCUAAUCUGUAUGCUGCAUCUUGUAGGGAACAGUAACCUUGCAAUCUUCAUCUGUGCAUGUCUACAUAAAAUACAGGAUUUAAUCACUGGGGCCACAUAAAGGAUGCAUAAAGGUGGAACACACGAAGGAAACAUAAAAGCAGUGGCCAAAUUUCAACAUGGAGGAAACAUAAAGGACGGUAACAUACAGGAUACACAAAGGAAAGACACAUAAAGGAAACAUAAAAGCAGUGGCCAAAUUUCAACAUGGAGGAAACAUAAAGUACGUUAACAUAAGGGAUACAUAAAGGGAGGACACAUGAAGGAAACAUAAAAGCAGUGGCCAAAUUUCAACAUGGAGGAAACAUAAAGGACAUUUCCUCAUGUGACCUCAAGGAAACAUACAGUAAACAUA